GAGGAAAAAUUUGAGAGCGAAUAUUUCAGGGCAAGUUUCGUGUGUUCUCAGCAUCUGUAUCAUCCUCGCAUGCAAACGAGCUGCAGUUAAUCUUUCUCCUUCUUCAUCUUCUCUGUCAUCUUCUCUGCAUCGAACGAUCGAACUGUUGUAUAAGUUGAUCGAGGUGUCACCAUUUAUUCAUGUUCAAGAAGAUACAGAGCCUAUUAGUGUGGAAGAGCCAAUUUCUGAAGAUCAAAGCUCAAUGCCUUCUUCCACACAAUUUGAUGAAGCCAUGCUUAAGGAAAUUGUUAAAGAUUUAAAGAAAAGUCUAGGAACAAAGCUUGAUACUUUGUUGAAGAUUUAUGUGAAACCUGAUGAAAGGAACAUAGAAAGAGAAUCUAGUGUUCCAAUUACUAAAGAUGGAGUUGAUGAUCAUUGUCGUAGUACAUAGCCUACUGUUACAAUCAAUAAAGAUGCAGGUGGUGAUGAACGUGAUGAUAUGGAUAUGCAUGCAGAAGUUCAGUAUGAAAGCGAUUUUAGAGAUGCAUAUCUAGAUGAUGAAACUGAGAACGUCACUGAUAUUGGGAAAGAAUCUAUUGAUGGAGUGGAAGUUGAAGAUGUAGGAGAAUGUCAAGACCAGAAAAAUCCAAAUGAGACAGGAGUAACAGAAAAAAUUUGUAAAUGUGGAUUGCAAUCUUAGGAGGAUUUAGAAAGUCCAUUGGGAACAAGUGUCAGUGAGAUUGUAUGCAAAUGCUUAGAAGGAACAUAUGAUUUGUCUACACCUCUGUCAUAUAAAGAGAAAUUUGGAGUUCAAACUUGUGCCAAUCAAGAAUCUUUUGAAGCUGCAAGGGAAGAAGCUGGAGUGGAGUAUCAAGAGAAAAGUGGAGUACAAUCUCAAGACGUAGAAAAUACCGAAGGAACAAGCAGAAGUGAGAUUAUUUCCAAAUGCAUAGAUGGAACAUGUGAUCUCUCUACACCUCCCUCUCUUACCGACAAUAUUUGAACCCAAGAAAAUGUUAGUGAAGAUAAUGAUUUAAUUGGGAUGAUCUUGACUAUUGCAAACGAAUCUUGUGAACUUGCAACUGAAGAACAUGGAGAACAAUUGCAAGAUAAAGAAAAUGUGCAGUUGGAAGAUAAAGAAAAUGAUGCAAGCAAUAUGUUAGCUGAAUUGUCUGUUGAAAAAACACAAGAAGGCAGUGUGAAGAAGACAGAUGAUGCAAAAUUAUUGAAGAAAUUCAUUGUGCGGUUGGGCAAGAAGAAAAGGAGAGGUCGCAAAACAGAGGGACAAACUAAUAUAUAUGCUGAUAAUAAUGGUGUGAGAAAGAAUCCAUACAAAUUGUAUCAUCAAAAAAUCAGUAGCAAAAUGUUCUUCCUUGAGCUUUCAGAUAGUAGCUUUGUACUUGAUGAUAAGCAUAUUGACAUUGCCCUAUAUUAUCUGAGAAAGAAGGAGUGAUACCACCCUCGCGACCAUCCUUUUCGUUGCACAACUACUGAUAUUCUUUUUGAUAACUAUAUGGUGUUUGUGUAUAAGGAUUUCAGUGAAGAUGCUACUGAUGACUUUUGGUGUGCUGGUGAUAAUUAGUUGUUUCUGACACCAUAUGUAUGGGGGGACAGUCGUAGAUGUGGAAUUGCUUGUUCAGAGGUUGACAAAAUCUUUUUUCCAUGUCGGCUUCCUUCAGAAGAUGAUAAUGUUGUGUCACACUUUCUUUUGGGGGUAUUGGACUUGAAUCAGAAAAAGAUUGAUGUAUACGAUUCCAUAUAUAAUGAGCCAUAUGAGGCAGGAAUGAAUCACAUGGAAAUAUAUGAACACAUGAUCCCCCACUUGCUAAAGUUCUCACAGUUUGACAAACAUCACAAGUCUUUUGGAAAUGCCUUCAACAAAUUUGAUAUUCAGUGGCAAAGAUCACCACACUACUCUGGAUCGACUGAUUGUGGUGUAUUCCUGAUCAAAUAUGUGGAGUUGUUGAUGAUUGGAAAGGAUGUGGAGAAAUUCCAACCUGAAGACAUAAAAGACUUUAGAAAAGAACUUGCCGCAAAUCUUUGGGCACAUGGUGAGUGGAAAAGAAAUUCUGGUUAUGAUACACCACCAGAAAAUGUUGGCGAUGAUUAUGAGAGUGAAAAUGAAACUUGAUGUCCAAAGGGGUUGUAGUUUAGUUGUAAAGAAAGUUAGUUGUGGCUGAUCUUUUGUAUAAAAUUGCUGUAAAGAAUCUAUAUGAAUUCUGCAAGUUUAGAAAACUUCUGAAAUAUUCUGUAAAUUCCUCAAAAGUCACUUAUAUUUUGUUUGCUUAGCAUAAUUUUUUGUCACAGCUAUGCAAAAUUACAAUUUCAAAAGUAAU